UGGAGGACUGAGAAGGUUGAACGGCUCCUACCGUGCUGUUAUAACUGGUUAUAGCCUCCAAAAGUAACACACAAACCACUCAAUAAAGUGGCUCUGUCUCAAGCAGAGCUGAUAUGUAGUGCGUUUGUUAACAAAAC